AUAUUUCCAUUAAAAACAAUAAAAGAAAAAGAAGGUUAAUAAAAUAAUUAAAAAAGAAAAAAAACUUCUACAAAUAUAUCCCUAAAAAAACAUAUUUGGUAUGAAAUAUAAAAUUAAGAAAAUAGAAAAAAUAUAUAAAAAUUCCCCCAAAAACUAUAUAACCCCAUACAAAUCCCUCACAAUGCCAUAACCAUACACUGUCUGUCAGAAUACUGCUAAGAGGAAUAAUACACUGCACCACAAUAGUAGUGCAGUGUUUUAUAGAAAUAAUCAGAUCUUUGGUGAAAGGUUGCCCUCUAAUGGGAAUAUGGGUGAAAAAAACAACCCAUAAAAUAAAAGUGUAAUAACAUGAUUUAUUGACCCCCCCCCCCUCCCCCACCAACAAAAAAAGACAAAGAAAACAGUAGAAAGGCAGAAAUGCUUUUGAAAAAAGAAAUACACAAUAAUAAUUUAUAAAAUUUUCUGCCCCCUCCCUCAAAGAAAACAUAUAUUACCCUUAAAAUGUAUGAAUAAAUAAAUGAAAAUUAAGACAUAACCCAAACAUUACAAAAACAAACCCUCCAAAAACCUGUCAAUAGUCUGCGUCAACAUCAUCCUGGGAUGAUGGGAGGAGUAGUACACUGCACUACUAUAGAAAUAACAAUCCCUAUCAUCUAAAUCCCAAUGUGUUCCAAUUUUUUUUGUUCCUUUUUCUUAUGCGGUUUCAUAAUCCCUGAGAUAAGUAGUUCUGGCCCUAGAGUGUUAUAUAUAUUAGCGUCUGUAGCAUGUAUCAGGAACAUGUUAUCAUACCUGUGUCUUUUUACAGGUGACUGAUGUCCGGUGAGAAGUUGAAAGUGACCUAUACCCCCGUCAACUGCAAGAAAGGAACCACAGGACAGGUGACUGAUGUCCGGUGAGAAGGUGAAAGUGACCUAUACCCCCGUCAACUGCAAGAAAGGAACCACAGGACAGGUAAUUAAUAUUUAUAUUAAUUACUGAUAACAAUCAGGCUAGAUGUAAUAUCUAGACCUGUAGAGAUGUCAUAGUCUCCACCUUAUACAUGAACAUAUAUGUGUUGUUAAUAAGCAUAUCGUCUAUGGACAGCUUCUUAUAUAACACAACCAUGUCUCAGGUACAGAGAAUAGGAACAUUUAUGAUCCUUAAUAUCUGUUUUUUAUUUGUAGGAAUUCCUUUAUCAAUAUUUAAUAGAAUAGACCCAACUUACCCCAAGGUUUACAAGUUUCCUUUAGACAAACUGACUGCAGAUUUAGAACAUAACUGUAAUGUAAAGAAAAAUCUAUAAUUUGUUUUUGCUACAAAUAUAUAAUUAUAAAAAUAAUGAGAAUUAAAAAACUAUAUAUUAAAAGACUAUAGCCAUAAUAAUACAUAGCCUGUUGAAAUAAUCAUGAAGCGCAUAAUACACUGCACUUUAAUACUAGUGCAGUGUAUUAUAUGAGCGAUCUUAAGAUCGCUGUUAAAAGUCCCCUUUGUAAAAAAAACAUGUAAAGGCUAGCUAGGAAUUUUCAUCCGGAAUAACUAUUGCCGCAGGUUCCAAGCGUACAUUACCGUCAUCACAGAUGGCAAUGUAUUCUGCCCAGAUCCUAUGUAAAUGAAGUUAAAAAUAAACAAUUUAUAAAAUAAUUCACCCCACCCCAACCCCUACAAAAAAAUUAAUGUUUAUAUAAAAAAGAAUUAAAAAAAGAUAACCCAUUUCUCCCCUCACAUAAACUAUAAUUAAAAAUCGGCUGUCAACAUAAUGCUGACAGCGAUAAUACACUGCACUAUAACACUAUUGCAAUGUAUUAUAUGGGUGAUCACAAGAUCACUGGGGAAAGGCCUCUCAUCGAAUUUGUUAAAAAAAAGACCAAAAAAUAAAAAAUAAAGAAAAAAAAGUUAAAAAAAAUAUUCAAACAGAACACCCUAAAAAAAAACAUAUUAAAAAAAGAAAAAAUAAUUUUAAACCAAAAACCCAAAAUAAAACCCCUGACAAUACUGUAACCAUACAUUGUCUUUUAGAAUAAUGACAAGAGGCCUAAGACACUAGUGCAGUGUAUUAUUACAUAGCUAUCGAAAGAUUGCUGCUCAAAGUCCCUUGAUGGGAAUAGUUAAAGGAAAUUUGUCACCAGUGUCACCUGCACUAACCUGUCGGUACCAACAGAUAGUGCAGGUGACACUAAUGACAACGGUCCUUGCCUUGUCCCGUUCCGUGGAGGGGAUCUCCGGUAAUCUUCUCUGUUAAGCUUCAGCUCUAGGCCCGGCUUGGGGCACGAGUGGAGCUUAGGAAUGUCACUGCUGCUACGAGUCCAGCAGAGAGCAGCAGCGGCUAGGGGCAUUGGCAGAGCUUAGUGACAUCACCGCUGCUGCUCCCUGCUUGGUCCCGCUGCUAAAGAACAGCAGUGGUGAUGUCCCUAUGCUCCGUCCAUGCACCAAGCUGGCCAGAGCUGAAGCUUAACAGAGAAGAUCACCGGAGAUUCCCGCGACUGAACGGGAAAAGGUAAGUACCGUUGUCACCAGUGUCACCUGCACUAUCUGUCAGUACCACCACUUUUGUGUAGGUGACACUGGUGACAUAUUUCCAUUAAAAACAAUAAAAGAAAAAGAAGGUUAAUAAAAUAAUUAAAAAAGAAAAAAAACUUCUACAAAAAUAUCCCUAAAAAAACAUAUUUGGUAUGAAAUAUAAAAUUAAGAAAAUAGAAAAAAUAUAUAAAAAUUCCCCCAAAAACUAUAUAACCCCAUACAAAUCCCUCACAAUGCCAUAACCAUGCACUGCCUGUCAGAAUAAUGCUAAGAGGAAUAAUACACUGCACCACAAUAGUAGUGCAGUGUUUUAUAGAAAUAAUCAGAUCUUUGGUGAAAGGUUGCCCUCUAAUGGGAAUAUGGGUGAAAAAAACAACCCAUAAAAUAAAAGUGUAAUAACAUGAUUUAUUGACC